rnacentral:lncRNA from 1 species
GUCCGUCUGAAAAUUAACAAAAACAUUCCUCCGUUAAAAUAAUGUUACCGGAUGAAAAACGGCAAAGAAGUACUAUGUAUAUUACUUGAGGAGAAUAAGUAGCAAUUGGCAGGAUAUCGCGCUAACGCUUAAUCGAAAGUGAUUCCUUCAUUCCACCUGAGCGAACGUUUCUCGGGGAUUUGCCUUUUCGAGAAAUGAAAUCAGACGUGGCUACCGACUGCCAUUGCAGAGCCGACUGGUACACGAUACACUAGACGUUCGCCGGCCUGGCUAGGAGAAAAUCAGC